UUCUCUCUUUUAUCGGGAGCAACGAAGAGUCCACUCCAAUCUCUCUCUUCCCCAACGGCGGCUGAUAAGGACUAACGAAGAAAGGACAGGACGAUAAGAUGUACUAUUCAGAAGCUAACCUCAUCGGCUAUCUUCCUCUCGAUCGUUGCAAGUUAUAGAAAUUAAGUUCGCGCUCACCAGCCCUUCCGCUGACCAUGUGAUUCCUCCCGCUCAAUUAAUAGACCGGUUCAUGCCGAAAAAUAUGUCUUUCAAAAAAUGAGUUUCGUUCUGGUGAAAAAUGUCUGUCUAUCGUAUCAGCUAGAAUUUUGAAUACGCCCAUUUUUUGGUCCGGAUUGUAGUCUGCAAUAACUCCUGGUAGCUUAAAAGCAAUGUCCUGCAGCUGCGAGCCUCUAAGACGAUGGAUCCCAGAAGUAAGUGCUUCUACUGCCAAAACAUCACCUUCUAACCAACAAUUGUCCAACACCAGGGAAAAUACCAAGCCAUAAGAUGGCUACGUAUGAGAAUUUCCGGAAUACCGGAAAAGGACAUGGCAUACCACCCUCACCGCUACAUUAGGCGCAUGUGGAAGGACUUCACCCACAGUGAGACCCAUUCAACAGAAGAUACUAGAAGAAGAGGUAGCUGUAGGUGCCCAUGAAAUAAAUGAGGAGGAAACCAUCGGGGGCGAAUUCAACCUGCCCUACGAUCGUAAAAAAAACUAUGGCGGAGGAUACACAGUACCUGAAGAAAACAACCCAAAACAAGAAAAAAAUACAGCUAUGAACUAAGCAAAAAAAAAUGAGGAAAUUGAUAUGGGAAUUUGAACAAAAGGCCGUGCAUACCGAGAGAGGAGAACACUCGAAGCACGGGAAUUCGUGUUGGAGCAACAGAAAAAAUCAGAAAGGAAGAAAGACAAAAACUAAGCGCACUACGUUACUUAAAAUUAGACUUACUUUUUUUUUAUAAUAUAUUUUGUAUCAGACCCACUACUAGACCGAAACUCUACCUUUGUUCGAGUGGGAUACCUAAUAAUUUUUAAUUUCAUACUGCAUCGAAAGUUUUACUUAAGUUAGAUUUCCUCUUGCUUCGCAUUGGAAAAAUACUCUUACGACUAUAAAAAUGAAUCCGAAAAUCAUGUCAAAGAAAAACAUCAGGUUUUCAAUACGGUUUAUUACAUUAAAACAAACGCUUCAUGUAACGCGAAAGGUUGCAAUAAAAUCCAAACUUUCUAUGUUUAACAAAA